ensembl:ncRNA asRNA:CR46054 antisense RNA:CR46054
AUUCGCAAAUAUAUUUAGGAAUAGAAUACAGUUUUACUCAUUUUUUUUUUGGCUGUACCUAAUGCAAACGAUAUAUAAGUCGGGACCGACGUUGAGGCCGUCCGGUGAAAACUUCCUGGACUUCUGCAAUCGAGGAUUUGAUAAAGGACAUGGCCAUCUGGCUGUACAUAUACCACGCCCGAUACGGACAUUGAUCGAAGCGGAUCAACGCCUGCUGAACCACUAUUCCAUUGGCCAGGACAUUGGCCACCAGCACCAAGACAUACAAGCAUGUCACGCCCAUGAUCACUAGCUUCCUGGAGGAGGGAUUCUCGCAACGUUCGUUCCACUUGGAAAGGGCAAACACCGUAACGGCACUGAGUGGUGCGGCGGCCAUCGCCAUAUAGGAAUCAAACCGGUAGCUCAGCACCAUUACCACCGAGUGAUUGACCUGCAGGAAGAACGAGUCCACGAAUAUGCUGAAGUUCAUCUGGGGACGCACCAAAGCAGCCAGGAGCAGCACAUACAAGCCCAAAAACGCAACUCCUUGGCGUAUGCUCACUUCAACAGGAGGCAUUUCAAAUUAAUCUGAAGAGAAUAUGAAAAAUAUUAAUAAUGCGUUUAUUU